GCAGUUGACUGGUGGGCGGGACUGACACACCUGAAGCGAGUUCAGCAGCACCUCAGCGCACGGACAGCGGGAGGAUGCCAGUGUUACCUUGUCGCGUGCUCUCGUGUUUUUGGAACCUUUCUCUCGUGUGACUCUGCGCUGUGAAGACCAGGCUCUCGAAUCCACAACCCGCUCAGAUUCUGCUCUGGCGACCGUCCCCUCAAACUCACUUGGUGGUACCAAGUUAGGAGCGAGUUCUCCCUUCCCGGAUUCACCCUGGUCACCCCCGGACUCUCCUGGUUCCUCCCGCUGUUCCUUCCGGAUCAGGACGCUGUGAAGACCAGGCUCUCGAAUCCACAACCCGCUCAGAUUCUGCUCUGGCGACCGUCCCCUCAAACUCACUUGGUGGUACCAAGUUAGGAGCGAGUUCUCCCUUCCCGGAUUCACCCUGGUCACCCCCGGACUCUCCUGGUUCCUCCCGCUGUUCCUUCCGGAUCCCUGGACCCGCCGGCGCUGCUGGGACCCUGCCCAACCUCCGUUCACCGGUCACUCUGUCAUCUGUGCCUCAACCAUCAGCUGAGCCCAUCUCCCUCCCCCCGGUUUAGUUCCUAGAGAUCCGUGAUCCCGUGUACCUGCCCGAGUCGGUCCCUGCGUGUUCCCGGUCUUGAGACCCUUCCCGAAUCCUUUCGCUAAGAUCAAUAAAAACUGUUA